rnacentral:rRNA from 1 species
UACAGAGGUCUCAAGCGUUGUUCGGAUUCAUUGGGCGUAAAGGGUGCGUAGGUGGCGCGGUAAGUUGGGUGUGAAAUUUCGGAGCUUAACUCCGAAACUGCAUUCGAUACUGCCGUGCUUGAGGACUGGAGAGGAGACUGGAAUUUACGGUGUAGCAGUGAAAUGCGUAGAGAUCGUAAGGAAGACCAGUGGCGAAGGCGGGUCUCUGGACAGUUCCUGACACUGAGGCACGAAGGCCAGGGGAGCAAACGGG